UACAGAGGGGCAAGCGUUGUUCGGAAUUACUGGGCGUAAAGGGCUCGUAGGUGGCCAACUAAGUCAGACGUGAAAUCCCCAGGCUCAACUUGGGAACUGCGUCUGAUACUGGAUGGCUUGAAUUCGGGAGAGGGAUGCAGAAUUCCAGGUGUAGCGGUGAAAUGCGUAGAGAUGCGGAGGAACACCGAUGGCGAAGGCAGCCCCUGGGCUAGCACUGACGCU
rnacentral:rRNA from 1 species